GGAGGGAUCGCAUAGUGGUCGAGUGCGCUUGCUUGGAAAGCAGGUAUGACCGUAAGGUUAUCGGGGGUUCGAAUCCCCCUCCCUCCG
rnacentral:tRNA from 1 species